rnacentral:rRNA from 1 species
CUGCGUGGAAGGGCCAUCGCUCAACGGAUAAAAGCUACCCUGGGGAUAACAGGCUUAUCUCCCCCAAGAGUCCACAUCGACGGGGAGGUUUGGCACCUCGAUGUCGGCUCAUCCCAUCCUGGGGCUGUAGUAGGUCCCAAGGGUUGGGCUGUUCGCCCAUUAAAGUGGUACGCGAGCUGGGUUCAGAACGUCGUGAGACAGUUCGGUCCCUAUCCGUCGCAGGCGUAGGAAAUUUGAGAAG